CAGUAUUUGACAUCUAGGCUUGAGAAAACAUUGAAGUUGAGGUCUAACUCGAGAUGUUUUGCUAUCGGACACGGGACUGGUUCAUACCAGGCUGUGUUUGGUUGCAACCGUGGACCCGUUUUGAUGGAAUUUAGCCUUGAAAUACCAUUGGCUAGUAUGGACAAGAAGGGGACAAUUGUUUUUGCUAAACACAGGGAGAUAUAUGUUGGGAGUGCCGCAGAUAAGGGUACUGGUAUUGAGAGACCCUGUUGGGGUUAUGAGGAAAAACUUUGGGAUUUUGAGGGACACCA